ensembl:snRNA U6 U6 spliceosomal RNA
UUGCUUCAGCAGCAAAUACACUAAAAUUGGCAUGAUAUAGAGAAGUUUAGAAUGGCCCUUGUCCAAGGAGGACACACAAAUUGGUGAAAUAUUUAAAAAAAUG